UACGGAGGGUGCGAGCGUUGAUCGGAAUCACUGGGCGUAAAGCGCGCGUAGGCGGCUUUUCAAGUCAGGGGUGAAAUCCCACGGCCCAACCGUGGAACUGCCUUUGAAACUGUAGAGCUUGAGUGUCGGAGAGGGUGGCGGAAUUCCAGGUGUAGGAGUGAAAUCCGUAGAUAUCUGGAGGAACACCGGUGGCGAAGGCGGCCACCUGGACGACAACUGACGCUGAGGUGCGAAAGCGUGGGUAGCAAACAGG
rnacentral:rRNA from 1 species